CAUAGGUUAAUGAGGCGAACCGGGGGAACUGAAACAUCUAAGUACCCCGAGGAAAAGAAAUCAACCGAGAUUCCCCCAGUAGCGGCGAGCGAACGGGGAGCAGCCCAGAGCCUGAAUCAGUGUGUGUGUUAGUGGAAGCGUCUGGAAAGGCGCGCGAUACAGGGUGACAGCCCCGUACACAAAAAUGCACAUGCUGUGAGCUCGAUGAGUAGGGCGGGACACGUGGUAUCCUGUCUGAAUAUGGGGGGACCAUCCUCCAAGGCUAAAUACUCCUGACUGACCGAUAGUGAACCAGUACCGUGAGGGAAAGGCGAAAAGAACCCCGGCGAGGGGAGUGAAAAAGAACCUGAAACCGUGUACGUACAAGCAGUGGGAGCACGCUUAGGCGUGUGACUGCGUACCUUUUGUAUAAUGGGUCAGCGACUUAUAUUCUGUAGCAAGGUUAACCGAAUAGGGGAGCCGAAGGGAAACCGAGUCUUAACUGGGCGUUAAGUUGCAGGGUAUAGACCCGAAACCCGGUGAUCUAGCCAUGGGCAGGUUGAAGGUUGGGUAACACUAACUGGAGGACCGAACCGACUAAUGUUGAAAAAUUAGCGGAUGACUUGUGGCUGGGGGUGAAAGGCCAAUCAAACCGGGAGAUAGCUGGUUCUCCCCGAAAGCUAUUUAGGUAGCGCCUCGUGAAUUCAUCUCCGGGGGUAGAGCACUGUUUCGGCAAGGGGGUCAUCCCGACUUACCAACCCGAUGCAAACUGCGAAUACCGGAGAAUGUUAUCACGGGAGACACACGGCGGGUGCUAACGUCCGUCGUGAAGAGGGAAACAACCCAGACCGCCAGCUAAGGUCCCAAAGUCAUGGUUAAGUGGGAAACGAUGUGGGAAGGCCCAGACAGCCAGGAUGUUGGCUUAGAAGCAGCCAUCAUUUAAAG
rnacentral:rRNA from 1 species